GACGAACGCUGGCGGCGUGCCUAACACAUGCAAGUCGAACGGCCCGACCUGACGGAAUCCUUCGGGAUGAAGACAGGAUGCGGGCAGUGGCGGACGGGUGAGUAACGCGUGGAGAACCUGUCUAUCAGUCCGGGAUAACCUGGCGAAAGUCGGGCUAAUACCGGAUGGCCUUUAGAGAUAGCAUUAUCUUUAAAGGAAAGGUCCUACGGGACUGCUGGAAGGAGGCUCCGCGUCGGAUUAGCUAGCUGGUGGGGUAACGGCUCACCAGGGCGACGAUCCGUAGCUGGUCUGAGAGGACGAUCAGCCACACUGGGACUGAGACACGGCCCAGACUCCUACGGGAGGCAGCAGUGGGGAAUCUUCCGCAAUGGGCGAAAGCCUGACGGAGCAACGCCGCGUGAACGAAGAAGGCCUUCGGGUCGUAAAGUUCUGUCUUCAGGGAAGAACCCUCAUGGGAGGGAAUGCCCAUGAGCUGACGGUACCUGGGGAGGAAGCCCUGGCUAACUACGUGCCAGCAGCCCGCGGUAAUACGUANAGGGCGAGCGUUGUCCGGAAUCACUGGGCGUAAAGGGUACGCAGGCGGAAAUACAAGUCAAAUGUGAAA
rnacentral:rRNA from 1 species